AGUAACGCGUGAGGAACCUGCCUUCCAGAGGGGGACAACAGUUGGAAACGACUGCUAAUACCGCAUGAUACAUUUGAAUCGCAUGGUUUGAAUGUCAAAGAUUUAUCGCUGGAAGAUGGCCUCGCGUCUGAUUAGCUAGUUGGUGAGGUAACGGCCCACCAAGGCGACGAUCAGUAGCCGGACUGAGAGGUUGGCCGGCCACAUUGGGACUGAGAUACGGCCCAGACUCCUACGGGAGGCAGCAG
rnacentral:rRNA from 1 species